rnacentral:rRNA from 1 species
AUGGGUUUGCCUUGGUAUCGUGUUCACACUGUCGUAUUGAAUGAUACGGGUCGAUUGCUUGCGGUGCAUAUAAUGCACACAGCUCUAGUUUCUGGUUGGGCUGGCUCAAUGGCUUUAUAUGAAUUAGCAGUUUCUGAUCCCUCUGAUCCUGUUCUGGAUCCAAUGUGGAGACAAGGUAUGUUCGUAAUUCCCUUCAUGACUCGUUUAGGAAUAACGGAUUCGUGGGGUGGUUGGAGUAUUUCAGGAGGAACUGUAACAAAUCCGGGUAUUUGGAGUUAUGAAGGUGUGGCAGGUACGCAUAUUGUGUUUUCUGGCUUGUGUUUCUUGGCAGCGAUCUGGCAUUGGGUAUAUUGGGACCUAGAAAUAUUCUCUGAUGAGCGGACGGGAAAACCCUCUUUGGAUAUGCCCAAGAUCUUUGGAAUUCAUUUAUUUAUUGCAGGGGUGGCUUGCUUUGGCUUUGGGGCAUUUCAUGUAACGGGUUUGUAUGGUCCUGGGAUAUGGGUAUCCGAUCCUUAUGGACUAACUGGAAAAGUACAAGCUAUAAAUCCAGUGUGGGGUGCAGAAGGUUUUGUUCCUUUUGUUCCGGGGGGAAUAGCUUCUCAUCAUAUUGCUGCGGGUACAUUGGGUAUAUUAGCGGGCUUAUUCCAUCUUAGUGUCCGUCCGCCUCAACGUCUAUAUAAAGGAUUACGUAUGGGCAAUAUUGAAACUGUACUUUCUAGUAGUAUCGCUGCUGUUUUUUUGCAGCUUUCGUAGUUGCUGGAACUAUGUGGUAUGGGUGAGCAACGACCCCAAUCGAAUUAUUUGGGCCUACUCGUUAUCAGUGGGAUCAGGGAUACUUUCAGCAAGAAAUAUAUCGAAGAGUUAGCAAUGGUUUAGCCGAAAAUCUUAGUUUAUCAGAAGCUUGGUCUAAAAUUCCCGAAAAUUAGCCUUUUAUGAUUAUAUUGGUAAUAAUCCGGCAAAAGGGGGAUUAUUCAGAGCAGGCUCAAUGGACAAUGGGGAUGGAAUAGCUGUUGGAUGGUUAGGACAUCCCGUCUUUAGAGAUAAAGAAGGACGUGAGCUUUUUGUACGCCGUAUGCCUACUUUUUUUGAAACAUUUCCGGUUGUUUUGGUAGAUGAGGAGGGAAUUGUUAGAGCAGACGUUCCUUUUAGAAGAGCAGAAUCCAAAUAUAGUGUUGAACAAGUAGGCGAACUUAAUGGAGUAAGUUAUUCUGAUCCUGCUACUGUAAAAAAAUAUGUGAGGCGUUCUCAAUUAGGGGAAAUUUUUGAAUUAGACCGGGCUACUUUGAAAUCUGAUGGUGUUUUUCGCAGCAGUCCAAGGGGUUGGUUCACUUUUGGUCAUGCUACCUUUGCUUUGCUCUUCUUUUUCGGACACAUUUGGCAUGGCGCUAGAACAUUGUUCCGAGAUGUUUUUGCUGGUAUUGAUCCAGAUUUGGAUGCUCAAGUGGAAUUUGGAACAUUCCAAAAAGUGGGAGAUCCAACUACAAGGAAACAGGCAGCCUGAUACACAUUGUUAUAGUAUCUCUCAC